rnacentral:sRNA from 1 species
GUUCGUUUGUCGGGGCAGCGAGAUGUGGACAUUUUUCUCUAUGCUUGGAAUUUGAUUGGGACUGCGCUCUUGGUUCUUGUGUCUGCGUUUGCGCAAUGUGGAUAAGCACCUUUGGUAUCACCAAUCGUUUGCGAACUUUCCAAAUAACUGCAGCCAAAACUUUGUUAACACAGUGGCUAUAACAAUAAUUGCGCUAUAAAUACACUCGAUUAUGACAUCCCGAAUGCAAUCUAUGAAAUAUAACAAAUCC